ensembl:lncRNA
GGGGUGCCCGUGUUUGCAGCUGGGGGGGUGUUGUCCCCCCCCCCCCGGUGUCCCCGUGGCCCCCGGUGCCAGCCGCUCUUGCAGGCAGCACCGCGCUGCACCUGGCCACCAUCGGCUGCCAGCCCCAGUGCGUCAAGGUCCUGCUGCAGGUACCGGCCCCAUGGGGACGGGGACGGGAUGGGGACGGGAUGGGGCUGGAGAGGGAGGUGGGGAAUGGGGAGGGGAUGGGAUGGGAUGGGAUGGGAUGGGAUGGGAUGGGAUGGGAUGGGAUGGGAUGGGAUGGGAUGGGAUGGGAAGGGAAGGGAAUAAACACGAGACCAAGAGUGGGAUGAGGAUGAGGAUGAGGAUGAGGAUGAGGAUGGGGAUGGGGAUGGGGACGGGGACGGGGACAGGGACAGGGACAGGGACAAGGACAGGGACAGGGAGUGGGAUCGGGAUAUGUGUAGGGACAGGGAUGGGGGUGAGAAAUGGGAUAAGAACGAGGACGGAACAGAAAUGGGGCUGAUGAUGAGGACAAGAAGAAGGAUGGGGAUGGGGACAAGGCUGGGAACGGGGCCGGGGGCGCAGGGCAGGACCCCCAGGCCCCUUCCCGUGCCCCUGUCCCCUGCAGUACGGUGCCGACACGCGCCACGUGGACGGGCAGCACCGCACCCCCCUGCACUGGGCCGCCUCCUCGGGCUGCGCCUCCAGCGUGCUGCUGCUCUGCGCACACGGGGCCCCGCUGGACGUCGCCGACGCCCACGGCCAGACACCCCUGAUGCUGGCGGCACGGGGGAACCACGCCGCCGUCUGCGCCCAGCUCCUGCAGAGCGGCGCCGACCCCGACCUCGCCGACAGGGACGAGAAGACAGCCCUGGACCUGGCCCACGAGCACGGCGGCACGGAGGCGGCCGCGCAGCUCCGGCACCACGGGGGCCACGGCCGCGCGCAGCGAGAGAACGGAUCUGGUGGCGCUGGGGACCCUGAGCUGCAGGGCCCCCUGGGCUGUGGAGAGAGCAGCGAGGAAGAGGAGAAGAAGGAGGAGGAGGAGGAGGAAGAUAAAAAGGAGGAAGAGGAGGAAGAGGAGCAGCGGGGUGAGCGUGGCACCGGCCUCCUCCAGCGGGUGCAGGACCUGGCACGGCCCCCACCCGGUGCCAGCAGCGAGGCCGAGGAUGAGGAUGAUGAUGAAGGCUCCGGCCUCGCUCCUCCAGCCGAGCACGGGCAGGAGCUGGCGAGGAGGAGGAGGAGGAGGAGGAGGAGGAAGGCUGAGGAAGAGCCCACGGGGCCGGGGGGGACCCGCGCCCCCCAGGAGGGAGCGGGACGGGGCGCGGAGGUGCAGGAGCUGAAGGAGCGCAACGGGAGCCUGGCGGGCGAGCUGGCCCGGCUGCGCCUCGAGAGGGGGAGGCUGCGGGAGGAGCUGCGGGCGCUGCGGGUGCGGGACCCCCAGCUGGGGGCGGCGGGGGAAGGGGGCAGCCGGGUGGGCGCCCUGUGCCGGGCGCUGGAGGCCAAGCGGGAGGAGGCAGCGAGGCUGCGGCGGAGGCUGGCGGGGCAGCGGAGGGAGCUGGAGGCGCUGCGGGACCGCCUGGGCAGGGGGGUGGGGGAGGACGAGGCCGGCGGCCCCCUCCCCGCCGCCUGCGUCCUGCGGGAGCUGCAGCGGCGGCUGGAGGCCCUGGCGAGGUCCCAGCACGAGGCCCUGCAGCUGGUGGCCGAGAUGGAGGCCGAGGAGGCGGCGGGGAGAGGAGGCCGCCCCGGCGAGGAGGACGGGGACGUCGGAGAGGGGCU